UACGUAGGGGGCAAGCGUUGUCCGGAUUUAUUGGGCGUAAAGAGCGUGUAGGCGGUUUGGUAGGUCCGCUGUGAAAACUCGAGGCUCAACCUCGAGACGCCGGUGGAAACCAUCAGACUAGAGUCCGGAAGAGGAGAGUGGAAUUCCUGGUGUAGCGGUGAAAUGCGCAGAUAUCAGGAAGAACACCCGUGGCGAAGGCGGCUCUCUGGGACGGUACUGACGCUGAGACGCGAAAGCGUGGGGAGCGAACAGG
rnacentral:rRNA from 1 species